rnacentral:rRNA from 1 species
CUACGGGGUGCAGCAGUGGGGAAUAUUGCACAAUGGGCGAAAGCCUGAUGCAGCAACGCCGCGUGAGGGACGACGGCCUUCGGGUUGUAAACCUCUUUUAGCAGGGAAGAAGCGAAAGUGACGGUACCUGCAGAAAAAGCACCGGCUACACUACGUGCCAGCAGCCGCGGUAAUACGUAGGGUGCAAGCGUUGUCCGGAAUUAUUGGGCGUAAAGAGCUCGUAGGCGGUUUGUCGCGUCUGCUGUGAAAAUCCGAGGCUCAACCUCGGACCUGCAGUGGGUACGGGCAAACUAGAGUGCGGUAGGGGGGAUUGGAAUUCCUGGUGUAGCGGUGGAAUGCGCAGAUAUCAGGAGGAACACCAAUGGCGAAGGCAGAUCUCUGGGCCGUAACUGACGCUGAGGAGCGAAAGCGUGGGGAGCGAACAGGAUUAGAUACCCUCGUAGUC